AUUGAACGCUGGCGGCAUGCCUUACACAUGCAAGUCGAACGGUAACAGGUCUUCGGAUGCUGACGAGUGGCGAACGGGUGAGUAAUACAUCGGAACGUGCCCGAGAGUGGGGGAUAACGAGGCGAAAGCUUUGCUAAUACCGCAUACGAUCUCAGGAUGAAAGCAGGGGACCGCAAGGCCUUGCGCUCACGGAGCGGCCGAUGGCAGAUUAGGUAGUUGGUGGGAUAAAAGCUUACCAAGCCGACGAUCUGUAGCUGGUCUGAGAGGACGACCAGCCACACUGGGACUGAGACACGGCCCAGACUCCUACGGGAGGCAGCAGUGGGGAAUUUUGGACAAUGGGCGCAAGCCUGAUCCAGCCAUGCCGCGUGCAGGAUGAAGGCCUUCGGGUUGUAAACUGCUUUUGUACGGAACGAAAAGACUCUGGUUAAUACCUGGGGUCCAUGACGGUACCGUAAGAAUAAGCACCGGCUAACUAUGUGCCAGCAGCCGCCGUAAUAC
rnacentral:rRNA from 1 species